AGGAAGUAAAAGUCGUAACAAGGUUUCCGUAGGUGAACCUGCGGAAGGAUCAUUAAUGAAACAAACCGUCGUGAAGGGUUGUUGCUGGCCUUUCUGGGGGCAUGUGCACACUCGGAUCGUUCAUCCUUCUUACACCCUGUGCACAACCUGUAGCUUGGGAUGAUCACGGGAGAGUGUUAACGUUGGUGUUGCAACUCCUGAAUGCCCUUGCUAUGAAUGUUAUAUACACAAAGUAUCUUAGAAUGUUAAAUGGCGUGUAACAGCGCAAAUAAAUACAACUUUCAGCAACGGAUCUCUUGGCUCUCGCAUCGAUGAAGAACGCAGCGAAAUGCGAUAAGUAAUGUGAAUUGCAGAAUUCAGUGAAUCAUCGAAUCUUUGAACGCACCUUGCGCUCCUUGGUAUUCCGAGGAGCAUGCCUGUUUGAGUGUCAUGAAAUUCUCAACUGCUUCAACUUUUUGUUGGAGUGAAGUUGGACUUGGAGGAUCAUUGCUGGCGUAAGUGUAUGCUUACUUGUUGGCUCCUCUUAAAAUUAUGAAACCUUUCCGGUAGAUCUUUGACGUGAUAACUAUCUAUGUCGGGUCCCCUACCAUAAGGAAAACGGUUUAUGAAGCCAUCUUUGUUGACCAAAUUCGACCUCAAAUCAGGUAGGACUACCCGCUGAACUUAAGCAUAUCAAUAAGCGGAGGA
rnacentral:rRNA from 1 species